rnacentral:rRNA from 1 species
GACGAACGCUGGCGGCGUGCCUAAUACAUGCAAGUUGAGCGCUGAAGGUUGGUACUUGUACCGACUGGAUGAGCAGCGAACGGGUGAGUAACGCGUGGGGAAUCUGCCUUUGAGCGGGGACAACAUUUGGAAACGAAUGCUAAUACCGCAUAAAAACUUUAAACACAAGUUUUAAGUUUGAAAGAUGCAAUUGCAUCACUCAAAGAUGAUCCCGCGUUGUAUUAGCUAGUUGGUGAGGUAAAGGCUCACCAAGGCGAUGAUACAUAGCCGACCUGAGAGGGUGAUCGGCCACAUUGGGACUGAGACACGGCCCAAACUCCUACGGGAGGCAGCAGUAGGGAAUCUUCGGCAAUGGACGAAAGGCUGACCGAGCAACGCCGCGGGAGUGAAGAAGGUUUUCGGAUCGUAAAACUCUGUUGGUAGAGAAGAACGUUGGUGAGAGUGGAAAGCUCAUCAAGUGACGGUAACUACCCAGAAAGGGACGGCUAACUACGUGCCAGCAGCCGCCGUAA